UACGAAGGGUGCAAGCGUUACUCGGAAUUACUGGGCGUAAAGCGUGCGUAGGUGGUUGUUUAAGUCUGUUGUGAAAGCCCUGGGCUCAACCUGGGAAUUGCAGUGGAUACUGGGCGACUAGAGUGUGGUAGAGGGUAGUGGAAUUCCCGGUGUAGCAGUGAAAUGCGUAGAGAUCGGGAGGAACAUCCAUGGCGAAGGCAGCCCCCUGGGCUAAGAUUGACGCUCAGGCACGAAAGCGUGGGGAGCAAACAGG
rnacentral:rRNA from 1 species